UACAGAGGGGGCAAGCGUUGUUCGGAAUUACUGGGCGUAAAGGGCGCGUAGGCGGCUUAUCAAGUCAGGCGUGAAAUUCCCGGGCUCAACCUGGGGGCUGCGCUUGAUACUGAUGAGCUUGAAUGCGGGAGAGGAUAGUGGAAUUCCCAGUGUAGAGGUGAAAUUCGUAGAUAUUCGGAAGAACACCAGUGGCGAAGGCGACUCACUGGACACGUAUUGACGCUGAGGUGCGAAAGCGUGGGGAGCAAACAGG
rnacentral:rRNA from 1 species